GAAAUGCGAUAAGUAGUGUGAAUUGCAGAAUUCAGUGAAUCAUCGAAUCUUUGAACGCACAUUGCGCCCUUUGGUAUUCCUUAGGGCAUGCCUGUUCGAGCGUCAUCUAAACCUUCAAGCCCUGCUUGGUGUUGGGUGCCUGUCCCGCCUCCGCGCGCGGACUCACCUCAAAUCCAUUGGCGGCCCCCGCGUCGGCCACGAGCGCAGCAGAACCGCGAACUCGUGAGCCCGUCCGGGCGGCUCCCAGAAGCUACACCCACCCAGUUUGACCUCGGAUCAGGUAGGGAUACCCGCUGAACUUAAGC
rnacentral:misc_RNA from 1 species